rnacentral:lncRNA from 1 species
GAAAAAAGAUGGAGAAAAGGCAAAAAUCUAGCAAAAAAAUGCUCGCGGGAAGGGUUCCACCUACGCAGGCACCGUGCGCGGCCAACACAAGACACAUCCCGUCCCCCUAGGGAAUGAUGCCCAGUCUGUGUGCGCGUCCUAUCUCCCACAGACUGACACAGUCCACGCAUGUCCCAUUGCGUGCAAAUGGGCACGACUCCGUGCACCCUGUGCGCACAAUAGGCCAGCAUGCAUGGGCCUACGCGUAGCACCCUACGCAUUGUAGGACCUGUGCACGGUCGACUCAGGCAAUGUGUUACUGCCUCGGGCAGUGCGCAUCAUCCCCUUGGGCGCCACGCACUCCCU